ACUAAUAAUAGCGUCUACCUACAAUCGUGGUUGUCAUGAUUAAAUGAGUUAUUCCAUUAAAGAGCCCCGACAGUACCUGACACAUAGUAGGCGCUCGAUCUAUGCUGCUAAUCACAGAUGUCAGUCUCCUACCUGGAAAGCAAUCGCUUUAGGUAGAGAAAAUGUGUCCUCUAGUCUGCUUUUCUUUUAGACAGUGCCAAGAAGCAGGCUAGGUGCCCUUUGUUAUGGUUUGCCAUUCCUGGCUAACGUUUAGAUCUUGUCCAUGGCACCUGUUAAUAAAAACAAGGCACUCGCUUCUUCUUUUCUUUCACUGAACACCUUGUGUGUACCAGGCACGAGGCCAGGCCCUGUACAAACAUAAUCCUCAUCACCAGGCUGGGAAGAAAGGAAUGCCCUUACGUAACGGAGUAGAGACCAGACUUAGAGACGCUCGGUGGCUGCCCUGGUGCCAACAGCUGUCUUAGGUUUUCCGGCAUCUGUUCAGUUAUUUGUUCACCGAAACUUCCUUACAAAAACCUGACCCUGAGAACUACAAAUUGAGGACAUUUCUUCCACCGGGGUAUUUUUUUCUAAAAGACAUCUUUCAAAGAAUCAGAAACUUCAACAGGUGUAUUUCACGGUUCCUUCAGUCUGGAGCAAUUCCUCAGCCUUUCCUUGACUUUCAUGUGUGGCCAACGUAUUUCAGCAGAAGGAGACAAAAUAUAUUUCAAAAUAAACAGUAUCAGUGGGGAUCCCACCUACACUGUGACUUUCAAAAUGGGAUGGAAAUAGGAAGUGAGCAUGUUCUGGCAACCAUCUGGAAACUCCAAAAGUGAACUCUAAAGGUUUAGUUGAAAUCCAUGGUCAUAAUGUGAUUCAUUUCCUCUUGUCCAAGUGGUAGGUCUCACUGCUCAUGGAUUCAUUCACUCACCAACUUAGUUUUGCUUUUUUCUU